AACUAGCCAAAUUAGUUGUUGCCAUGCCGGAUAAUUCUUAAUUCAUUUUCUAAAAUUUGCUAGUACCAUUCUAUUAUACUCAAUUCCAUAAAGAAGUCCAGCCUAGAUAUAUAUAUCUAUACAUUUUUUUUUUUUUUUUUUUACAAGCUUAAUCAAAAUGUAAAAUUCUCCAAAUUGUCGUUUAUAUCCAAUUUACUUAUUUCUUCUGUCUUUAAUCAAUCUUUUAAACCUAAGUUUACGUAUUUAGAAAUCACGAAUCCUAAACAAGUAGUGCCUUUUGCUCUAGUUAAGUAAGAGAUUAAAGAUGUUAAUCCUAUAAUCUAACUCUUGAUUAAACUAUGUCCUUUGUUUUAUGUUUAUUCUUAAUCCCAUGAAUACCUAUGAAUAUUCAGAUAAUAAUAUCAUUGAGUUAUUCCUUUUUCCAAGUCUAUCAUAAUGUCUAUCACCUCCAAAAAUUGUAAAAUUUAUACCUAAU
rnacentral:lncRNA from 1 species